rnacentral:rRNA from 1 species
UAGGGAAUCUUCCACAAUGGACGCAAGUCUGAUGGAGCAACGCCGCGUGAGUGAAGAAGGUUUUCGGACCGUAAAGCUCUGUUGUUGGUGAAGAAGGAUAGAGGUAGUAACUGGCCUUUAUUUGACGGUAAUCAACCAGAAAGUCACGGCUAACUACGUGCCAGCAGCCGCGGUAAUACGUAGGUGGCAAGCGUUGUCCGGAUUUAUUGGGCGUAAAGCGAGCGCAGGCGGAAGAAUAAGUCUGAUGUGAAAGCCCUCGGCUUAACCGAGGAAUUGCAUCGGAAACUGUUUUCUUGAGUGCAGAAGAGGAGAGUAGAACUCCAUGUGUAGCGGUGGAAUGCGUAGAUAUAUGGAAGAAUACCAGUGGCGAAGGCGGCUCUCUGGUCUGCAACUGACGCUGAGGCUCGAAAGCAUGGGUAGCGAACAGGAUUAGAUACCCUGGUAGUCCAUGCCGUAAACGAUGAGUGCUAAGUGUUGGGAGGCUUCCGCCUCUCAGUGCUGCAGCUAACGCAUUAAGCACUCCGCCUGGGGGAGUACGACCGCAAGGUUGAAAC